GCUGGGCAUGGUGGCUCAUGCCUGUAAUCCCAGCACUUUGGGAGGCUGAGGUGGGUGGAUCACCUGAGGUCAGGAGUUCGAGGCCACCCUGGCCAACAUGGUGAAACCCCAUCUCUA
rnacentral:SRP_RNA from 1 species